rnacentral:rRNA from 1 species
GACGAACGCUGGCGGCGUGCUUAACACAUGCAAGUCGAACGGAAAGGCCCUGCUUUUGUGGGGUGCUCGAGUGGCGAACGGGUGAGUAACACGUGAGUACCUGCCCUUGACUUUGGGAUAACUUCAGGAAACUGGGGCUAAUACCGGAUAGGAGCUCCUGCUGCAUGGUGGUGGUUGGAAAGUUUCGGCGGUUGGGGAUGGACUCGCGGCUUAUCAGCUUGUUGGUGGGGUAGUGGCUUACCAAGGCUUUGACGGGUAGCCGGCCUGAGAGGGUGACCGGCCACCUUGGGACUGAGAUACGGAGCAGACGCCUACGGGAGGCAGCAGGCGGGAAUAUUGCACAACGGGCGGAAGCGUGAUGCAGCAACGCCGCGUGCGGGAUGACGGCCUUCGGGUUGUAAACCGCUUUCGCCUGUGACGAAGCGUGAGUGACGGUAAUGGGUAAAGAAGCCACGGCUAACUACGUG